GGCUCUGGGCCGGCGGGCGGGGCGGGGGAGGGCCGAGGGAGAGCCCGCUGGCAGCCUGGCCAGUCUGGGGGUGGGGAGGGUGACCAGGGACCACUCGCGGCCAACCGGCCUGUCACCCUGUCCACCCUCCAGGCCACCCCACCGAGUCUGAGAGGACCCUUCCGCCCAUCCGCUCCCCGGUUGGGGACCGGGGCUCUCCCAAAGGUUCAGGGUUGUGCCAAGUUCACGCAGUGCUGGAGUAAUAAGCCUAUUUCACAGAUGAGGAACCUGCCACUCUGAGAGGGGCAGAAGCCUACGCAAGGUCUUGCAGCCAAGGGGCCGGGGAGCCGGGAUCUGAAGCCAGACCAGAGAGCUGCACACAACUCCAAUGAGGGACUGCCCACUGAGAAUUACACCUGCCACACAGGAGCCAGGAGCCGUGCCGGGCUCUUUCCACGCACUGCCUCGCUCACUCUCACCCCGGCCCCUGAGGCAGAUGCACAGAUGAGGAAACUGAGGCACAGAGAAGGCAAGUCACUGAGCCACUCUGUGCCUGUUUGCUCAUCUCCAGAUGGACACAGGACAGCCCUGCGUACCGUCCGGUGUUGACGAGGAUUGAACAAGGAACCACAAAGACCGUGAGAGACUGCCUCGCGCACAAGCCGAGUGCUGACCCUCCCGCCAGCCAGGCCCACGGCGCCUCACCGAGGACGUCCUUCCUGUGCAGAAAGGACACUUUGCGCAUGACGGCCAUCCUCGUCUUCUCCA